GAUGAAGAACGUAGCGAAAUGCGAUACUUGGUGUGAAUUGCAGAAUCCCGUGAACCAUCGAGUCUUUGAACGCAAGUUGCGCCCGAAGCCAUUAGGCCGAGGGCACGCCUGCCUGGGUGUCACACGUCGUUGCCCCCCCAUCUACUCCUUCGGGAUUGCGGGGGGCGGAUGAUGGCCUCCCGUGCGCCUCGUCGCGCGGUUGGCCUAAAUGCCAAGUCCUCGGCGACGCACGCCACGACAAUCGGUGGUUGCGAAACCUCGGUUGCCCGUCGUGUGCGGUCGUCGCGCAUCGANGNCUCGAAAAAAUUGCCGGGCUUCGGCUCGACUUUCAACGCGACCCCAGGUCAGGCGGGGUUACCCGCUGAAUUUAAGCAUAUCAAUAAGCGGAGGA
rnacentral:misc_RNA from 1 species